GACGAACGCUGGCGGCGUGCUUAACACAUGCAAGUCGAACGGAAAGGCCCUGCUUUUGUGGGGCGCUCGAGUGGCGAACGGGUGAGUAACACGUGAGUAACCUGCCCUUGACUUUGGGAUAACUUCAGGAAACUGGGGCUAAUACCGGAUAGGAGCUCCUGCUGCACGGUGGGGGUUGGAAAGUUUCGGCGGUUGGGGAUGGACUCGCGGCUUACCAGCUUGUUGGUGGGGUAGUGGCUUACCAAGGCUUUGACGGGUAGCCGGCCUGAGAGGUUGACCGGCCACCUUGGGACUGAGGUACGGCCCAGACGCCUACGGGCGGCAGCGGUGGGGAAUAUUGCACAAUGGGCGGAAGCCUGAUGCGGCAGCCCCGCGUGCGGGAUGACGGCCUUCGGGUUGUAAACCGCUUUCGCCUGUGACGAAGCGUGAGUGACGGUACUGGGUAAAGAAGCACCGGCUAACUACGUG
rnacentral:rRNA from 1 species